rnacentral:rRNA from 1 species
GACGAACGCUGGCGGCGUGCUUAACACAUGCAAGUCGAGCGGAAAGGCCCUUUCGGGGGUACUCGAGCGGCGAACGGGUGAGUAACACGUGAGUAACCUGCCCCCCUCUUGGGGAUAACCAUCGGAAACGGUGGCUAAUACCGGAUAUGACCUGUCCUCGCAUGGGGGUGGGUGGAAAGUUUUUCGGUGGGGGAUGGACUCGCGGCCUAUCAGCUUGUUGGUGGGGUAAUGGCCUACCAAGGCGACGACGGGUAGCCGGCCUGAGAGGGCGACCGGCCACACUGGGACUGAGACACGGCCCAGACUCCUACGGGAGGCAGCAGUGGGGAAUAUUGCGCAAUGGGCGGAAGCCUGACGCAGCGACGCCGCGUGAGGGAUGACGGCCUUCGGGUUGUAAACCUCUUUCAGCAGGGACGAAGCGCAAGUGACGGUACCUGCAGAAGAAGCACCGGCCAACUACGUGCCAGCCGCCGCAGUAAGAC